rnacentral:rRNA from 1 species
GCAAGUCGAGGGGUAACAUAGUAGCUUGCUACUGAUGACGACCGGCGCACGGGUGCGUAACGCGUAUACAAUCUACCUCUUACUGAAGGAUAGCCCAGAGAAAUUUGGAUUAAUACUUCAUGGCAUCUAUUUAUGGCAUCAUAAAAAGAUUAAAGAUUACGGUAGGAGAUAAGUAUGCGUUCUAUUAGCUAGAUGGUGUGGUAACGGCACACCAUGGCAACGAUAGAUAGGGGCCCUGAGAGGGGGAUC